AGAGCAGCACCCAGGAGCCCUCAAAACAAGCAACAUGAAUAAAGGCUGAAGGGGAAAGAGAAGUUCUACUGCACUGGCGUCUCCCACUGCUUGAAAUAACGGACUCUCUCGGCAGGUUUAUGGUUUUCUUCUGGACAAGAAGACAUGACAGGUGACACUAGAUGGCGUCCCAUCUGACCCACAAAGAGGUUUCCCACCCUAUUCAUUCCUACGGAGGUAUCUGUUCUGCUCUUGAGUCCCUGCUCGGAU